CGUUCUAUGGCCAAAUUGGUAAAGGCAUCGCCGAUGCGGGUUCGAGUCCCGCUGAAACGG
rnacentral:tRNA from 1 species